AAAACCGCCCUUUUCAGGGCGACAAAAACAUUGAAUAAAGAAUUAU
rfam:Lutzomyia longipalpis Contig11726, whole genome shotgun sequence.